UGGCCACCCUUGUUGGGUGUUAACGAGUCUGGCCAGGCUGGGUCGCCGUUCACGGAGACGCUGGGACCCCCGUAGUGUAGUGUCCUCUGCUAGAGACCUCCCGUGUUCUGUGGGGCCCCGACAAGCGUCCUUUCCGCAAAACCGAUUGUCGCCGCCUAGGUGCGGCCGCCGCGGGGGCCUCUGGGAGUUGUAGUCCGGGCCGGCGCUCUGACGCACCUCACCGCGGGGCCCUUUGGCGCCAUUGCGGGGUGCGCGCCUGAACUCUGCCCACUCACGAGGGAGACGCAGAGGGGAGUAUGGCUUUCAGGCGCUCGCCAUCCUGGUCCAAUGAACCAGUGACCUUUGAAGAUAUAGCACUGACUUUUACCCUGGAAGAGAAGGGACUGCUGGACAUCCCACAGAAGUCCUUAUACAGGGAAGUGAUGCUGGAAAACUACAGAAACCUGGUCUCAGUGGAACUUCAUCUUUCCAAGCCAGAUGUGAUAAUACAGUUAGAGAAAGCAGAAGACUGCUGGACAGUGGAAAGAGAGAUUCUUCAAGACACCUUUCCAGAAUGUUCUGGGGCUACACAAGUACCUCAGUUGGGUCUUCCUGCUGAGGAUCCCUUGAUGAAGAUCAAAGUUGUUGAAGUUCUUACCCUGAACCAAGCGGUGGCUGGUCCCCGGAAUGCUCAGAUUCAUGCCCUCUACACUGAAAAUGGAAGCCAGAGUCCAGUCCAACAGCUGGGCAGACAUCCAUCUGACACUGAAGCCGUUCGCCAGAAAUUCCGACACUACCAAUAUGAGAAGUCAACUGGGCCUCAGGAGACCAUUGCUCAGCUUCGUGAUCUGUGUCACCAAUGGCUGCAGCCAGAGCUGCAUUCCAAGGAGCAGAUCCUAGAGAUGCUGGUGCUGGAGCAGUUCCUGGGUGUUCUGCCUGCACAGCUAAACUUGUGGGUUAAGUCACAGCACCCAGAGGACUGCGAAGCAGCAGUGGUCCUAGUGGAAGCACUACUUGCCUGCUCUCCUAAGGCCACUGCCCCACAGAAGGAAGAAAAGGAGGAUGUGGCCAUCUUGCCAGUGGAAGUGCUGCCUGAGGAGCCAGUGACCUUCCAGGACGUGGCCGUGGACUUCAGCCAGGAGGAAUGGGGACUACUGGGCCCAGUGCAGAGGACUGAGUACCGUGAUGUGAUGCUGGAGACCUUAGGGAACCUAGUCUCUGUAGGGUGGGAGACUGCAUUGGGAAGCAAAGAGUUAACUUCAGAUUCUCCCUUUCCUGUGGAAGAAGCAGUUCGUGAUCUAAAAAUGAAAAAGUUUUCAAGGGACAACACCCACCAUUCUUCCUCCGAAGACGAUGUACAAGACAAGGUCCAAGUUGUCCCCAACACAGUGUUGAAACAAGUAGAGUUCACCCGGGAACAAGGCCUCUCUGAAAAGCAGCUCACUGAAAGCCCAGGAUACCAGCCAAGCACUGGUCUCCACACCAGUCAGGGUUCAGUCCAAGACAUUCCUUCCACAAAGGGCUUACGCAAACGUAGCCUGCAGGUUAAAAACAUGGGAGGUAGUCCACGUGUAAAAACCCACAAGAAGGACUGUGAAGUGGGGAGAACCAAGAAGAGCAACAGUUGUGUAGCAAGUGGUUCCCGUGCAAGAAUUCAUCAAAAGGGCUCUACAGGAAGAAAAGCCAAGGAGAGCAGUGGUUUUAGGAAAACAAUAUGCCAUCGAGCUCAGCAGAUUACUUUUAUAAGAAUUCACAAAGGGAGCCAAAUUUGCCGAUGCAGUGAAUGUGGGAAAAUGUUCCGAAACCCAAGAUACUUUUCUGUCCAUAAAAAGAUCCACACAGGAGAAAGGCCCUAUGUGUGUCAGGACUGUGGGAAAGGGUUUGUGCAGAGCUCUUCCCUCACACAGCAUCAGAGAGUUCACAGUGGGGAGAGACCAUUUGAGUGUCACGAGUGUGGGCGGACGUUCAAUGACCGCUCGGCCAUCUCCCAGCACCUGAGGACUCACACUGGAGCCAAGCCCUACCCAUGUCAGGAUUGUGGGAAAGCAUUCCGGCAGAGCUCGCACCUCAUCCGGCACCAGAGGACUCACACCGGGGAGCGCCCCUACGUGUGCAGUAAAUGCGGAAAGGCCUUCACCCAGAGCUCACAUCUUAUUGGGCAUCAGAAAACACACAGUGGGAAAAAGUAUAAGAAGAAGUAGCCCAGUUCACAGCCUUCAAGCCUGUGGAAGCAUUGCUAGCCCUCCUGCCUCAGUCUCCCGAUUGCUGUAUGCACCAUUACUCAUGGAAUUCAAGAAGGUCACCAUACCCCUUGCCUUAUCUUGCUAACCAUAGGAAUGAUGGAUCAUCUGAACAGAAAGACAUACAACUCUGCAGACGGCCCGGACAUCAGGAAAGAGCAGUCCCCAGUCCUGCCUCGGCACAUGAUA